UCUGGUUGAUCCCGGCAGAGGUUACUGCUAUCGAGGUUCGACUAAGCCAUGCGAGUCGAAUGUAGCAAUACAUGGCGUACUGCUCAGUAACACGUGGACAACCUACCCUUAGGACAGGUAUAAACCCGGGAAACUGGGUAUAAUCCCUGAUAGUCCUCGACUGCUGGAAUGCAUCGAGGGCGAAAGCUCCGGCGCCUAAGGAUGGGUCUGCGGCCUAUCAGGUAGUAGUGGGUCUAAAGUACCUACUAGCCUACGACGGGUACGGGUUGUGAGAGCAAGAGCCCGGAGAUGGAUUCUGAGACACGAAUCCAGGCCCUACGGGGUGCAGCAGGCGCGAAAACUUUACAAUGCCGGCAACGGCGAUAAGGGGACCUCGAGUGCCAGGUUACAAAUCUGGCUGUCGUGAUGCCUAAAAAGCAUUGCAUAGCAAGGGCCGGGCAAGACCGGUGCCAGCCGCCGCGGUAACACCGGCGGCUCGAGUGGUAACCGUUAUUAUUGGGUCUAAAGGGUCUGUAGCCGGCCGGAUAAGUCUCUUGGGAAAUCCAGCAGCUCAACUGUUGGGCUUCCAGGAGAUACUGUCUGGCUCGAGGCCGGGAGAGGUGAGAGGUACUUCAGGGGUAGGGGUGAAAUCUUGUAAUCCUUGAAGGACCACCAGUGGCGAAGGCGUCUCACCAGAACGGACCUGACGGCAAGGGACGAAAGCUAGGGGCACGAACCGGAUUAGAUACCCGGGUAGUCCUAGCCGUAAACGAUACUCGCUAGGUGUCGGCCACGGUGCGACCGUGGUCGGUGCCGUAGGGAAGCCGUGAAGCGAGCCACCUGGGAAGUACGGCCGCAAGGCUGAAACUUAAAGGAAUUGGCGGGGGAGCACUACAACGGGUGGAGCCUGCGGUUUAAUUGGAUUCAACGCCGGAAAUCUUACCGGGACCGACAGCGAUAUGAAGGCCAGGCUGAAGACUUUGCCGGAUUAGCUGAGAGGUGGUGCAUGGCCGUCGUCAGUUCGUACUGUGAAGCAUCCUGUUAAGUCAGGCAACGAGCGAGACCCA
rnacentral:rRNA from 1 species